rnacentral:rRNA from 1 species
GAGUUUGAUCAUGGCUCAGAACGUACGCUGGCGGCACGCCUAACACAUGCAAGUCGAACGAAGUAGCAAUACUUAGUGGCAGACGGGUGAGUAACAUGUAGGUAUCUGCCCUUUGGCCUGGAAUAACACGAGGAAACUUGUGCUAAUACCGGAUAAGUCUUUACGGAGAAAGCUUUAUGCACCAUUGGAUGAGCCUGCACUUGAUUAGUUUGUUGGUGGGGUAAUGGCCUACCAAGACUGUGAUCAAUAGCUGAUUUGAGAGGAUGAUCAGCCACAUUGGGACUGAGACACGGCCCAAACUCCUACGGGAGGCAGCAGUGGGGAAUCUUGCACAAUGGAGGAAACUCUGAUGCAGCGAUGCCGCGUGAGUGAAGAAGGCCUUUGGGUUGUAAAGCUCUUUCGUCGGGGAAGAAAAUGACUGUACCCGAAUAAGAAGGUCCGGCUAACUUCGUGCCAGCAGCCGCGGUAAUACGAAGGGACCUAGCGUAGUUCGGAAUUACUGGGCUUAAAGAGUUCGUAGGUGGUUGAAAAAGUUAGUGGUGAAAUCCCAGAGCUUAACUCUGGAACUGCCAUUAAAACUUUUCAGCUAGAGUAUGAUAGAGGAAAGCAGAAUUUCUAGUGUAGAGGUGAAAUUCGUAGAUAUUAGAAAGAAUACCAAUUGCGAAGGCAGCUUUCUGGAUCAUUACUGACACUGAGGAACGAAAGCAUGGGUAGCGAAGAGGAUUAGAUACCCUCGUAGUCCAUGCCGUAAACGUUGUGUGUUAGACGUUGGAAAUUUAUUUUCAGUGUCGCAGGGAAACCGAUAAACACACCGCCUGGGGAGUACGACCGCAAGGUUAAAACUCAAAUGAAUUGACGGGGACCCGCACAAGUAGUGGAGCAUGUGGUUUAAUUCGAAGAUACGCGCAGAACCUUACCAACACUUGACAUGUUCGUCGCGACUCUAAGAGAUUAGAGUUUUCGGUUCGGCCGGACGAAACACAGGUGCUGCAUGGCUGUCGUCAGCUCGUGUCGUGAGAUGUUGGGUUAAGUCCCGCAACGAGCGCAACCCUCACUUUUAGUUGCCAUCAUUAAGUUGGGCACUCUGAAAGAACUGCCAGUGAUAAGCUGGAGGAAGGCGGGGAUGACGUCAAGUCCUCAUGGCCCUUACGUGUUGGGCUACACACGUGCUACAAUGGUAUCUACAACAGGAAGCAAGACUGCGAAGUUAAGCAAAUCCCUAAAAGAUACCUCAGUUCGGAUUGCACUCUGCAACUCGAGUGCAUGAAGCUGGAAUUACUAGUAAUCGUGGAUCAGCGUGCCACGGUGAAUGCGUUCCCGGGUCUUGUACACACCGCCCGUCACACCAUGGGAGUUGGUUCUACCUUAAGGCAAGGUUUCAAACCCUUGACCACGGUAUAGUCAGCGACUGGGGUGAAGUCGUAACAAGGUAACC